rnacentral:rRNA from 1 species
ACGGAAGGCAGCAGUGGGGGAUAUUGCACAAUGGGGGGAACCCUGAUGCAGCGACGUCGCGUGGGUGAAGAAGUUUUUCGGAAUGUAAAGCCCUAUCAGCAGGGAAGAAAGAAGACGGUACCUGACUAAGAAGCCCCGGCUAACUACGUGCCAGCAGCCGCGGUAAUACGUAGGGGGCAAGCGUUAUCCGGAUUUACUGGGUGUAAAGGGAGCGUAGGCGGCGUUGCAAGUCAGAUGUGAAACCCCGGGGCUUAACUCCGGGACUGCAUUUGAAACUGUGAUGCUAGAGUGCGGGAGAGGUAAGCGGAAUUCCUAGUGUAGCGGUGAAAUGCGUAGAUAUUAGGAAGAACACCAGUGGCGAAGGCGGCUUACUGGACCGUAACUGACGCUGAGGCUCGAAAGCGUGGGGAGCAAACAGGAUUAGAUACCCUGGUA